CUCAGGCUGGAGGGCAGUGGUGCAAUCUUAGCUCACCGCAGCCUGAACUUUUGGGCUCAAGUCAUCCUCAGCUUCCUGAGUAGCUGGGAUUACAGGCAUGAGCCACCAUGCCUGACUAGUCCUAUUCUUGAAGUGUGUGUGUGUGUGUGUGUGUGUGUGUGUGUGUUUGUGUUCUUUGUCCUUCUCAAACUGCAGAGUUUGAUCGCUGUUCUCUUCCUUGCAGGAAGCUCCAAGACAUGUCCAGCCUGCUCUUUGCUGCGAAACUGCACUGAAAUAACUUUCCUUCUGCCCAGGACUCCUGCUUGUUUAGCCAGAUGCAGCUGGGUGGGGGACCGGGCUGGGGACUGGACAGGGGCUGGGUGGAAAGAAUGGACAAAGGUGGUGGUUGGAAGGGGAGCAUGGAUGAGGCAUCCUGGGACUGGAGAUUGCCAGCCCUGCCUCAUAGCUCAGCCUGGUGCUGCUGGGGUAAAGGGCAGAGGGGAGCUCAACAGCAGAAGAGGCCCUGGAUUGACCAUGGGGAUUGCUAUAGAGUGGGCAGAGGUCCUGGAGGGCUUGGAAAGCAGGGGCCCUAAUCUCCCUUCCUCAACCUCUAUCCCUAGAAAAUGGGACUCUCAUUGAGAAGGGGUCAUGUGUGGCCCCUGGAGAAUGCCAAGAAGGUGUCUAUGCCCUGACCUACGGCCCCCAUGCAAGUCUCUGGGUCAGCACAGCCUGUUGUGAAAACAACUGCAGUAACCUUCCCCAGCAAGGGGGUCCCCAAAUUCUGAAGGGCUGUGCUACACCAGAGGUCUGCAACUUACAUAAGAAUGCCACCCUGGGUCCAGAAGACUCUGGAUUUCAUCUCACUGCUAAGCCUGAAUGCAACUACCUUACUCCUCCUACACAGCCAGGUCCUCAUGCAACUGUGACACACGCCAAAGCUGAGACCACCAUCUGCUUCACCUGCUCAGACCUCCACAGCUGUGGCCCACUUCCAUGCCCAGAGGAUAAUAACUACUGCCUUCAGAUGGCGGGCAUCACAGCAGCUCAUCUGGCCUCACACACUCUGAGUGAGAUCUUGUGUCCUACAUGUCCUGGGAGCUCCUUGGAGCCCUGCAAUUCCUCCUUCUACAUGCGGUGUCCCAGUGGGGAAACUGAGUGUGUUCAGCUGGACCUGACGUCUGAAGAAGGUAAUGGGGACAGCAUGUGUGUGUGUGCGUGUGUGUGUGUGUGUAUGUGUGUGUGAAGAAGGUAAUAGGGACAACACGCCUGUCUGUGUGUGUGUAUGUGCGUGUGAAGAAGGUAAUGGGGACAGCAUGUGUGUGUAUGUAUGUGUGUGCACAUGUGUGUAUGCAUGAGUGAGCCUGAGCACACUGGAUUUGGACACUGGUGUGCUUGAGUUUGGAGUUUCCCCUCCAUGCUUUACUCUGUGUAGCUCAAGGCAAGGGACUUUAUCUCUUUGAGCCUCAGUUUUCUCUUCUGGUAAUUGGGGAUGGUAGACACACACCUUGAAGGGCAUUGUGAGGACAAAGUGAACUUAUGAAGGAGGUGACAGAGUAAAGGGCAUGAGAACAGGACUCUAGGGCCAGGCUGCCUGGGUUCAAAUCCUGAAUCCACCACCUAUGAGCUGGGUGACCUUGACCAGGUGACUUUGCCUCUCUGUGCCUCAAUUUCUCC
rnacentral:lncRNA from 10 species